UUCCUGGAGAGUCCAGGAUGUAAACUUGAAACUCUGAGAUUGGAGACCUGUGAUUUGUCAAAGAUCAGCUGUGAUUAUCUGGCAGCAGCGCUGAAGUCCAACCCCUCCCAUCUGAGAGAGCUGUACCUGUGGGGAAACAACCUGCAGGAUCCAGAUGUGAAGCAGCUGUCUGAUCUUAAGGAGAGUCCAGACUGCAGACUGGAGACUCUGAGGUGGAGAUGGUGGUAAACAGGACGGUGUGUGCUGAGAGAGGAGGAGCUGUGUCCUGA